GAAAGUGCUUAUUUUCCAUUUAUUUUCUACUUUUUAAUGAUUUAUUUACAUGUACAAUUACAUCUCUUACUAAAUUCAUGUGAAAAAGUUUUGUGUCUUAUUUCCUCUAGGAAUUUUAUUUGCAGGAUCAUGGGGAGAGAUAGAAAUGUUCUGUGCUAAACUUGCACUUACCUGUCUCAUUGGAAAUCUCAACGUGUGGGCAAGGAAUGCAGUCGAAGCAGCAGGAAGGUUUCUCUUCCCGGGUGGCUUUCCUGAAUCCAGGCUGGCAGCUCUGACUGCACACAGACUGAGGAACCUCAGAAGAAUGAAAUCAAAUUAUCUAAUACUCAGUGUUUUAUAGAAAAUCUAGUAAAUACAGUUUUAAAGUAUUAUACAGUUUAUUUUAAAAUGUUAUUUCUACCAAUGGAAAAAAUGGUUCUGAAAGGCGUAUGGUGAACAUGUGCUUGUGUAUAAUGAUUUGUCUGAAGAUUAUCAAAGUGUUGGACAAUCUGGAACCUUAAUAAAUUAAGGACAAGUGUAAGGAAGUGAUGUCACUGGGGCUAUGACCUAGAAAAGCCCAAGACUGACCCUGUUUCUGUACUUACUGGUUAAAUGAUGGAGCAGCUCUUACUUUCAUGAUUAUGAACCUUGCUUGUCAAAUUGACAGAACUUAGAAUCAUCACAGAAAGAAAUAUUUGGGCAUUUCUGUGAGGGAUUUUUACCAGAGAUAAAAUUAUGCCAGAGAUGAAAUGGGUCAUUCUAAAAGUGAGUGCUACAAUUUCAUUGGCUGUUGUCUCAAAAUGAGUGAAAAGGAGGAAACAGUAAGCAGUUGCAUUCAUUGUUACCCAAUUCCUGAGUCUGAAUGUGGUAUCAACAGCCACCCACGCUCCUACAACCAAUGCAUUUGCAAAGCUAAUGGACUGCAUCCUCAAACUGUCAGCCAAAAUAAGUGCUUCCUUAAGUUAAUUUAGUUAUAGUUGCAGCAGCCAGACAAGCCAGUGACAUACAACUAUGCAUGCUAAAUGGUUCUCUUUCUCUAGACAUAUCAAAGGAAAACAAUGACUGAUGAUGGACUAGAACUUCUAAGCAAGGAAUCAAAAUGAACCUGUGAUUUCCUUAGAGACAAUGAAGGAAUUCUAAUACAGAUUCUAUGUGGUAGUUUAAAUUAAAAAAAAAAAUGUUCCCCAUAGUUUAAAUAUUUAUUUCCUCAUUGGUGGGGCUACUUGGGGAAUUAUUGGAAUUUUAGACUUGUAUAGACUUGUUGGAGAAAUUAUUUCAGAGGUUAAAGAUUUUGAAAUGCUAAGCCCUACCCAAUUCCAUUGUUCUUUCUCUACUUCCUGUGUGUUAAUAGAGAUGUUAUCUCUCAGGUUUCUGCUUCUUUCUCUGUAGCUGUCACUUGCUGGCAUGGCUGCAAUUAGCUGUCAUACCAACAGAACCAUAGCCAAAAUAAACUCUUUCUUCAAAAAGGCAAUUUUGGAUAUGGUAUUUAAUCACAGUAAUAAAACAAAAAUAUUACAUGGUUUUAUAAUGUGAAAACUAAAUUAAGUGAAUUACAUUAUAGACUGGCCUGUGGAAUAUUUAAGAGAUUGAGGUUCUCUCUUCCUAAAUGUCCCUAAUUACUGUCAAAUUGACAAGAAACUAAUCUAUAUAUGACUGAAGAUUAGGAAACGUGUUUAAAACAACACACUUCCAUUUAAGAUAAUCAGGAGUGCAAAAAUAUCCUUUAUUGUUAGGGAUGUUUUUCUAUUCCCUUCUUGUAGCUAUAUACAUUUUUGGGCCUUGAGUGAGAAAUCAAAUGUCAUUGCAAUGGGAAACAGUUUUGUUAUUGUGGUAAGUUCAAUUAUUAAGAAAAUAUUGUUUCCCACAUGUGUCUUUUGCAAGAAAUGAUGAAGCUGAAAAGGAUGCGUGAGCCUGUGUUAAAGUGGGCCAAAAAGAUGGAAAAGAACGCUGUUAUAGGAAGUCUCUUGUUGUUUCUAAUCUUGGUGUAAAACAAACCAUGAAUGUAGGUAUUCGUAUGGUGGAGCAGUGGAGUCUUAGUGAACGAGAUGCAGCAAGAGAAGAAUUAGGACCAAGGAAGGGUAAGAACUUAGUUACUGUGCUUCAAGCAAUUCUCAGCUCUUGGAAUAGCAAGCUGCAUUUGUUUACUUUCAGAGGACAUGCAGACAUUCAGUGUGUAAAGUGGACUUACUGAUGUCUAACAGGGACUAAAAAAUAUGGAAUGCUUCACGAAUUUUCAUGUCAUCCUUGCUCAGGGGCCAUGCUAAUCUUCUCUGCAUCAAUCAUAUUUUAGCAUAUGUGCUGCUGAAGGAAGCACUCUAAUAUUUUCUUAUGGAAACGAUUAUCAUGAGAAGAUUAUGAGGUUAUUUGUGACACAAACUUAAUAUUGACUGGAAACGUCCUUUUUGUUAGCUGAGCUUGAUACUCCAGCAAUACCCAUAAGUGAAUCUACAUUGAACUCUGACUAAGCUAGUGACCACAGACUCUCCAGGGAUUCUUAACAAAAUAUGUGGAAAUGUAGAAUACCUAACUUGGUACCUUCUCAAAUUCUCAGAGUUAUAAUUUUCAAAUUCUAACAUUGAGAAUGUUAGAAUUCAAAUCGAAGGCUAUUACCUACCAGGAGAAAAAAAAAUCCAUUUCUUCACCACUUGCAUAUGGUUGCCUUUGAACUUGUUGAAGAUUCAUCUCGUGGAGACUGUGGUCCAGGCAAGAAUUCCAAGGAGGCAUUGGGUUCGCAGUUUUCUGAAAGUUUGCAGUCAAGUUGAGAAAAUGAACAUUUGAAGAACAAAAACCACAACUUAGGAAGAUAAGUGUCUUCUGGGUAGUUGUAAGGACUAACUGUUCUAAUAAAAUCAGUAAAUUCAACAAUCUGCUCAUGGUGGUGUGAAAAGAUAAUACUCCCAUGGAAUGAAUUUAAUAGGAAAUAAUCAGCAUGGUUGGUAACAUCCCAUUGAGAGUUCAUGACCCAGACUCUCCAUGUUAUAAACUGUUGCCCUAGAUUUCGCAUUAAACCAUGUAAAGAAUCAAUGUCACCAAAAAUGAUGAUAACAUUGGCCAAUGAUUCUUAAACCUUCUCUAUAUUUUUCCAGAAUUUAUUGGAAAAUGAAGUCCAGGUCCUUGGGAUUAUUUCCACAAGAGCAAUGCACAUUUUAUUACUCUCCAUCUUUUGUCUUAAAUCUGUUAGUAUUUGAGACCCUAUGUGGUCAUCUGGAAGGAACAGACCAACCCAGUUCCAGUUGAAAUAAAGUAUCAAAGAGACAAUGGCAAGUGAAAGAGAUGUGUCUUUGGGAGCCAUCUGAUAGAGAAAGUUAAAGUUACCUUGGUCACUCAAUGUGGAAUCAAAAGGCCCAAAUGUAAGCUGAUGGGAAAACAAUAGAACACAAAGGAAAGACACUUGAAUCACACAUGGUUUUAGCCAUGAAACAGCAUAUGGAGAUGGUUGGGCUGAAGAUGUUUUCAUCUUGAUUUUAAAGUCAGAUUUCUAUGUCAGAUAUUUACAGUAAAUUAAUGACAGUUCUUCCAGUUUGACAGCCAUCUUCAUUGGUCCAGACUUCUGUUCCUGUCUACUGCAAACCAGAAAAAUAUGGAUCCAUCAUCAAUUGCCUAGCUCCUUCCUCUUUGAUACUUGAGCAGUUUAAGUGUUCCUCUUUUAUCACUGCAGUAUCUGAAAUGUCCAAACAGCAGAUUCGGAUCUCUUUUCUCACACCUUUUGUCUUACCUGUGGGAAUUUGUAGAGUUGUAGCAGUGUGCCGAUGUAGGCAGAAGUUGCGGGUGAUGUUCCUGUAAGCACAGCAGCUGUCUUGCUCCUUUUUCUACGGUUGUAAUUACAAAAGGGAUUGCUCAGCCCUGUGAGCCAAAUGAGGACAUUCACUAAAAUGUGUGUGUCAUUUUAUGGAAUAUUGUAGAAAUCAAAUCCCAGAGAUAUGCUGGGUAAAGGAUGGGGAUUCCUGUUGAUCUCCUCAAUGGCAAACACCAGAGCCAGAAGAAACUGGUAGUUCUUAAACUUAUACCUGUAUGGAUGGCAUAGAAGCACGCAGAAUGAAGACAGACUACACACAGCUGCAGAUUUAGUGUGAUGUCAUGCUUAAUAUUACGUUUACAUGACUGAAAUAUGUCCUUGUAUCUCCUAUUUCUUAAAGAUAUUAUGUGUAAGUGUUCUGCUGCACAUACAACACGCCAGUAGAUGGCGUUAGAUCCCUUUAUAGAUGGUCAUGAGCCACCUGUGAUUGCUGGGAAUUGAACUCAGAACUUCUGGAAGAGCAGUCACUGCUCUUAACUGCUGAGCCAUCUCUCCAGCCCCUAUCGAUAUCUCAUUAGAUUGAGAUGAGAUGCUGAAGGUAUGACCCCAUUUUUGACAGUCCCAGGGGAGCUCACUUUAUAUUACCUUCUAUGUUGGGUACACUAAAACUUCUGCCCAUGAAUCUGAACACUGCCUCACAAAA